AAAAUCCGUCGACUUUAAAUC
rnacentral:tRNA from 1 species